rnacentral:sRNA from 1 species
AUCCCUCACUGCUAAGCUAUCCCUCGCUGCUAAGCUAUCACUGCCAAUCUAUCGCUGCUAAUCUAUCGCUGCCAACCUAUCUACCGUGGCGAAUCUAUCUAUCGCUGCCAAUUUAUCUACCACUGCCAAUCUAUCUAUCGCUGCCAAUCUAUUGCUGCUAAUCUAUCGCUGCUAAUCUAUCGCUGCUGCCAAUCUAUCUAUCGCUGCUAAUCUAUCGCCGCUGCCAAUCUAUCCCUCGCUGCUAAGCUAUCCCUCACUGCUAAGCUAUCACUGCCAAUCUAUCGCUGCUAAUCUAUCGCUGCCAACCUAUCUACCGCGGCGAAUCUAUCUAUCGCUGCCAAUUUAUCUACCACUGCCAAUCUAUCUAUCGCUGCCAAUCUAUCGCUGCUAAUCUAUCGCUGCUAAUCUAUCACUGCUAAUCUAUCGCUGCUAAUCUAUCGCUGCUAAUCUAUCGCUGCCAACCUAUCUACCGCGGCGAAUCUAUCUAUCACUAUCAUUACUAGUUCAAAAUAGAACUAGAGCAUAAACACACUAAACUUCUUUUGAUAGGUAAUGAUUUUUGGUAACGCUCAUAGCAUUAUAUCAUCUAUAUAGGGUAAAUCAUGGUCCCAUUUGGUCCCAUUUUAACAAAAUGGGACCAAAUGGGACCAGAAUCAGUAAUUUAUAAGAAGAACAUGACCUGGGACUAGAUUUAUAAUAUAAACAGUGUAAAGUGACUAAUUUAAUAAACACUAUAUGAGACCAGGACUAAGAAAUUUGAUAAUGGGACUGG